rnacentral:rRNA from 1 species
UACGGAGGAUCCAAGCGUUAUCCGGAUUUAUUGGGUUUAAAGGGUGCGUAGGCGGCCUAUUAAGUCAGGGGUGAAAGACGGUAGCUUAACUAUCGCAGUGCCCUUGAUACUGAUGGGCUUGAAUGUACUUGAGGUAGGCGGAAUGUGACAAGUAGCGGUGAAAUGCAUAGAUAUGUCACAGAACACCAAUUGCGAAGGCAGCUCACUACACAAUUAUUGACGCUGAGGCACGAAAGCGUGGGGAUCAAACAGG